GACGAACGCUGGCGGCGGGCUUAACACAUGCAAGUCGAACGGAAAGGCCCUGCCGUUGUGGGGUGCGCGGGUGGCGAACGGGGGAGUAACACGUGAGUAGCCUUCCCUUGACGUUGGGAUAACCUCAGGAAACUUUAGUUAAUACUGGAUAAGAGCAUCGGCUGAAUUGUGGGGGUAGGAUAGGUUCGGCGGAUGUGGAUGGGCUCGCGGCUUAUCAGCUUGUUGGGGGGGUAGUGGCUUACCAAGGCUUUGACGGGUAGCCGGCCUGAGAGGGUGACCGGCCACCUUGGGACUGAGAUACGGCCCGCAGUACUGAGGGAGGCAGCAGAGUGGAAUAUUGCCCGAUGCGCGGAACCCUGAUGAAGCACCACCGCGUGAGGGAUGACGGCCUUCGGGUUGAAAACCGCUUUCGCAUGUACCGAAGCGUAGCUGACGGUAAUGGGUAAAGAAGCACCGGCUAACUACGUG
rnacentral:rRNA from 1 species